UACGUAGGGGGCGAGCGUUGUCCGGAUUUACUGGGCGUAAAGGGUGAGUAGGCGGUUGUAUAUGUCAGGUGUAAAAGGCUAUGGCUUAACCAUGGUUAGCACUUGAAACUGUACAACUUGAGUGCAGGAGAGGUAAGUGGAAUUCCUAGUGUAGCGGUGAAAUGCGUAGAUAUUAGGAGGAACACCAGUGGCGAAGGCGACUUACUGGACUGUAACUGACGCUGAGUCACGAAAGCGUGGGUAGCAAACAGGAUUAGAUACCCGCGUAGUCCCUGA
rnacentral:rRNA from 1 species